GAGAUAUUAGUAAAAAUUAUUACAUAACUUUGUCAAAGUUAAAUCAUAGACCAAAAUCUAUAUAUCUUA
rnacentral:tRNA from 1 species